UGGCUGAGUGGUAAAGCGCUUGGCUUUUGAACUGGGAGGAGGGGCGUGUCCCAGGUUCGAAUCCUGG
rnacentral:tRNA from 1 species